rfam:Ovis aries breed Texel chromosome 18, whole genome shotgun sequence.
UCCCUAGUGUCUUAGAUGGUAAAGAAUCUGCCUGCAAUGUGGGAGACCUGGGUUCAAUCCCUGGGUUGGGAA